rnacentral:rRNA from 1 species
AACUUUUUUCGAUCCACAGGGAUGCCCUAGUAACGGCGAAGUGAAGCGGCAACAGCUCAAAUUUGAAAUCUGGCGCAAGCCCGAGUUGUAAUUUGUAGAGGAUGCUUCUGGGCAGCGGCCGGUCUAAGUUCCUUGGAACAGGACGUCAUAGAGGGUGAGAAUCCCGUAUGCGACCGGCUUGCACCCGUCACGUAGCUCCUUCGACGAGUCGAGUUGUUUGGGAAUGCAGCUCUAAAUGGGAGGUAAAUUUCUUCUAAGGCUAAAUACCGGCCAGAGACCGAUAGCGCACAAGUAGAGUGAUCGAAAGAUGAAAAGCACUUUGGAAAGAGAGUUAAAAAGCACGUGAAAUUGUUGAAAGGGAAGCUCACGCAACCAGACUUGUCGGCGGUGUUCCGCCGGUCUUCUGACCGGUCUACUCGCCGCCGGCAGGCCAGCAUCACUUGGGAGCGCCGGAUAAAGGCGUGCGGAAUGUAGCCCCUCGGGGCAUUAUAGCCGCGCGCACAAUACGGCGCCUCCCGAGUGAGGUCCGCGCUUCGGCUAGGAUGCUGGCGUAAUGGUUGCUUGAGGCCCGUCUUGAAACACGGACCAAGGAGUCUAACAUCUAUGCGAGUGUUCGGGUGUCAAACCCCUACGCGGAAUGAAAGUGAACGGAGGUGGGAACCGCAAGGUGCACCAUCGACCGAUCCUGAUGUCUUCGGAUGGAUUUGAGUAAGAGCAUAGCUGUUGGGACCCGAAAGAUGGUGAACUAUGCCUGAAUAGGGUGAAGCCAGAGGAAACUCUGGUGGAGGCUCGCAGCGGUUCUGACGUGCAAAUCGAUCGUCAAAUUUGGGGUAUAGGGGCGAAAGACUAAUCGAACCAUCUAGUAGCUGGUUCCUGCCGAGCCCCCCCCCCUAGAGGAAACGCUCCAAGAUGGUUCGAUAGUCCGUUCGCACCUUGUACCCCAAAUUUGACGAUGAUUUGCAGUCGAUGCUCGAGCUCCCCAAAGUUUCCCUAGCUUCACCUUAUUCAGCUAAGUUGACACUUUGGGUCCAGCCGUCUUCUACUCCAUCCUCCAAAAUGUAGGAUGGGUGGAUGGGGUGCACUUAGGGUCACUCUCAAUACGUUACGGACCUGAUACCAACUGCAGAUAGCAUUGAGAACUCUCUAGGACUCGGUGGUUUUCCAGGUAC